rnacentral:lncRNA from 1 species
GCACGCGUAUAGCUAGCUUGGGGCGCGAGAGCUGCGGCGGCGGCGUCCGCCUCCUGAGCGAGCGGGGUGUCUGAGAAGAGGGAAGCAGGGACUCACGGAAGGGGAAGAGAAGCUGGAAUGUCAAACAUCGAAAAGUAGCAACUGUGUAGGAAGUGUUUUCCUCCUAAGCUUCGGAUUCUAUGUCUCCUACCUCUCCAAGUCUACUGGUUUAUGCAGAUAAUGUUCCUGUCACCACGGCUGGAUGAUGGCAGCUGUAACCCAUUGACCUUUCUAAGCAAACAUGCUAGAAUGCUUGAAGAACCACAACUGCCACUUUCAGGACAGCAGCACACUCUGGAUAGCUAAAGCUUUGACUUCUUUUCUAAGCUCAACGAAUGCAAGGCCUCUGGGCAAAGGCGGCAGCAGCAGCCAGGCAAGGAGAGAAAGGAGAAGGAGAGGAUGAAGAAGAGGCGGGGAGCACCAGCUAUUUGGCUGUCACAACUGCAACUUAUUUUUUUUAUUUAACAUUGUUUUUAAUUUUUAAAUGACCCACAUAUUAGUCAUAGUUGCUUUCAUUUAUAUCCUAAUCAUUACUUUCAUUAUUUGAAGAUUCAUUUUUUUAAUUUGUUUUUUAUUAAAGUAUAAUUGAUUUACAAUGUUGUGCCAAUUUCUGACUCAGUGUCACUGCUAUAUUAUACAUUCUUUUUUUAGAUUCUUUUCAAUUGUGGUCUAUCCCAGCAGAUUGGAUAUAGUUCUGUGUUAUACAGUAGGAUCUUGUUGUUUAUCCAUUCUAAAUGUAAUAGUUUGCAUCUACUAACCCCAAACCCCUAGUCUAUUCCACUCACUUGCCCCUCUCCCCUGGCAACCACAAGUGUGUUCCCUGUGCCUUUGAGUCUGUCUCUGUUCUGUAGAUAGGUUCAUUUGUGCCAUAUUUUAGAUUCAUAUUUUAGAUAAAUGAUAUCAUAUGGUAUUUGUCCUUCUCUUUCAGACUUAGUUCACUUUGUAUAAUAAUCUCUAAUUGCAUCUAUGUUGUUGCAAAUAGCAUUGUUUCAUUCUUUUUUGUGGCUGAGUAGUAUUCCAUUGUAUAUAUGUACCACAUCUUCUUAAUCCAUUCAUCUGUCUAUGGACAUUUAGGUUGGUUCCAUGUCUUGGCUAUUGUAGUAGUGCUGCUGUGGAUAUAGGAAUGCAAGUAUCUUUUUAAAUUAUAGUUUUGUCCAGAUAUAUGCCCAGAAGUGGGCUAGAUCAUAUGGUAAUUCUAUUUUUAGUUUUCUGAGGAAUCUCCAUACUGUUUUCCAUAGUAGGCGUACCAACUUCUUUUCUCAUCAACAGUGCAGGAUAGUUCCCUUUCUCUACACCCCCUCCAGCAUUUGUUAUUUAUAGAUUUAUUAAUGAUGACCGUUCUGACUGGUGUGAGGAGAUACCUCACUGUAGUUUUAAUUUGCAUUUCUCUAAUAAUUAGUGAUGUUGAGCCUCUGUUCAUGUUCCUACCAGCCAUCCAUUUGUCUUUGGAGAAAUGUCUGUUUAGGUCCUCUGCCCAUUUUCAGUUGGGUUGUUUGGUUUUUGGUUUUUGAGUUAUUUGCAUAUUUUGGAGAUUAAGCCCUUGUUGGUUGCAUCAUUUGCAAAUAUUUCUUCUGUAUGUUUUUUCCUUUGCUAUGCAAAAGCUUGUAAAUUUUAGUGGGUCCCAUUUGUUUAUUUUUGUUUUUAUUUCUGUUGCCUUAGGAGACUGACCUAAGAAAGCAUUUGCACAGUUUAUGUCAGAGAAUGUUUUGCCUUUGUUCUCUUCUAGGGGUUUUAUGGUGUCAUACCUUAUGUUUAAGUCUUUGAGCCAUUUUGAGUUUGUUUUUUGUGCAUGGUGUGAGGAGGGUGUGUUCUAACUUCAUUUAUUUACAGGCAGUUCAGUUUUACCAGCAACACUUGCUGAAGAGACUGUCUUUUUCCCAUUUUAUAUUUUUGCCUCUUUUGUUGAAUUGACCAUUGUUGACCAUUAAUUGACCAUUGUUGUUGGCUUUAUUUCUGGACUUUCCAUUCUGUUCCAUUGAUCUAUAUGUCUGUUUUGUGCCAGUACUACACUGUUUUGAUUACUGUAGCUUUGUAGUAUUGUCUGAAGUCUGGGAGAUUUAUGCCUCCUGCUUUGUUCUUUUUCCUGAGGAUUGCUUUUGCAAUUCUGGGUCUUUUAUGGUUCCAUAUAUAUUUUUGGAUUAUCUGUUCUGGUUCUGUGAAAAAUGUCAUGGGUAAUUUGAUAGGGAUCACCUUAAAUCUAUAGAUUGCUUUAUAGUAUGUAUAUUUUAACUAUUAAUUCUUGUAAUCCAAGAGCAUGGGAUAUCCUUCCAUUUCUUUGAAUCCUUUUUAAUUUCCUUUAUUAAUGUAUUAUAGUUCUCAGUGUAUAAGUCUUUCACCUCUAUACUCAGGUUUAUUAUUAGAUAUUUUAUUUUGUUGUGAUUUUAAAAGCCAUUAUUUUUUAUUUUACAUUCUCUUUAAUCAGAAAUAAAAUUUCUGAUAUUUCAUUGUUAGUAUACAGAAAUGCAACCAAUUUCUGAAUGUUAAUCUUGUAUCCUGCUGUUCCUUUGUUGAAUUUUUCAGAUCUAAGAGUUUUUGUGUGGAGUCCUUAGGGUUUUCUGUAUAUAGUAUCAUGUCAUCUGCAUAUAGUGACAAUUUUACCUCUUCCCUUCCAAUUUGGAUAUCUUUCAUUUCUUUCUCUUGUCUAACUUCUAUAGCCAGGACUUCUAAUACUAUGUUUAAUAAAAGUGGUGACAGUGGGCAUCCUUGAGAACACAGCUUAUUUGUGAAUGCACAGGAAAUAUUCACCAAGAUACAUCAUAUGUUUAGCCAUAAAAGAAGUUCCAAUAAAUGUAAAAUAAUCAAAGUCA